rnacentral:rRNA from 1 species
AACGAACGCUGGCGGCAUGCCUAACACAUGCAAGUCGAACGAGACCUUCGGGUCUAGUGGCGCACGGGUGCGUAACGCGUGGGAACCUGCCCUUAGGUUCGGAAUAACUCCCCGAAAGGGGUGCUAAUACCGGAUAAUGUCUUCGGACCAAAGAUUUAUCGCCUUUGGAUGGGCCCGCGUUGGAUUAGCUAGUUGGUAGGGUAAAAGCCUACCAAGGCGACGAUCCAUAGCUGGUCUGAGAGGAUGAUCAGCCACACUGGGACUGAGACACGGCCCAGACUCCUACGGGAGGCAGCAGUGGGGAAUAUUGGACAAUGGGCGAAAGCCUGAUCCAGCAAUGCCGCGUGAGUGAUGAAGGCCUUAGGGUUGUAAAGCUCUUUCACCCGGGAUGAUAAUGACAGUACCGUGAGAAUAAGCUGGGGCUAACUCCGUG